rnacentral:rRNA from 1 species
AUUGAACGCUGGCGGCAGGCCUAACACAUGCAAGUCGAACGAGUGGCGGACGGGUGAGUAAUGUCUGGGAAACUGCCUGAUGGAGGGGGAUAACUACUGGACACGGUAGCUAAUACCGCAUACCCUCGGAUGCGCACAGAUGGGAUUAGCUAGUAGGUGGGGUAACGGCUCCCCUAGGCGACGAUCCCUAGCUGGUCUGAGAGGAUGACCGGCCACACUGGAACUGAGACACGGUCCAGUCUCCUACGGGAGGCAGCAGGGGGGAAUAUUGCACAAUGGGCGCAAGCCUGAUGCAGCCAUGCCGCGUGUAUGAAGAAGGCCUUAGGGUUGUAAAGUACUUUCAGCGGGGAGGCGUUACCCGCAGAAGAAGCACCGGCUAACUCCGUGCCAGCCGCCGCGGUAAUAC